ensembl:rRNA 5S_rRNA 5S ribosomal RNA
AUCUACGGCCAUACCGUCCUGAUCCUGGAAGCUAAGCAGGGUUGGGCCUGGCCAAGACUUGGAUGGUAGACCGCCUGGGAAUACUGGAAGCAGUGAGCU